UGAGUGGCCGAGCAAGCCGCCGGAGCCGCCGUGUGGCCUCACCGGACCGCCUCUUGCUUUCCCCACCCCUCUCCGCCUCUAACCAUCUCUGUUUUCCUUUGUUUCGCAGCUAAUCCAGCAACCCACGAAGUGGGUUUUCAGCCGGCUCUUGGGCCGUUUUGGGCCGUUUCCGGGCCCCGAACCCGAGCCGUGCUUUGGGAACAAUCGUUCCUCGCGUCGCCGCCGUCGGAUUGAUCCGAUUUGCGCGCGAUUUGGCCCUUAGGAUGGCAGGACCUCCACCUCCUCGUCCUCGUAUGCAUUAUGGUGUUCCGGAGCAAAUUUCUGAGUUUGAGACCCAUUUCCACGUCCACCCUCACCCGGAAGGAUUGGUAUACGUUUUAGUCCAGUCGACCAUCUGGGUCAAUGUGGGGAAGGAAGACCAGAGGCCCCACAAGUAUCGGUCUUGGUACCGUGAUUACUUUGAUGGGCGCAGAGAAGGUCCUAUCCCAGAAGAGGAUGUGCCAUUUGAUGUGAUGGAGAAGGCAUUUGGAGAAGGAACAGCCGACCGAGUGAAUGGAUCGGUAGUGGAUGUGAGGGACCAGCAGCAGGAAGUGGAAACUCCGGAGGAGGAAGAAGAUUAGGGAGCAGCUGAGGAGAUGCCGGAAGAUGAGCCGGUGUCGGAAGCCGAGGAUGAAGCUGAAGAAGGGAAUGAUGAUUUGGAGGAGAAUGAUCUUAGUGAAGAGGAGUCAGAGGAGGAUCAAGAUGAUCCUGAGUAUGACCCAGAUGAGGAUUGAAAUCCCAUCUUUUGGUGAACCCUUUGUAUAUGUGUAGAUAGAGUGAGGUUAAUAGGUUGUGAAUAUUUUGUGAAGUGUUAUGUUUAAUGCCAUGUAUAAAAGUUUGGUUAUAGAUUUCAAUAUGAAAAAUAUAGCCUACUUUUCUA